UCGGAGUUCUCGGACCUAUGGGCCUCUUAAAUUGCACACCAUGAUUAACAUCCUUAAUAGUUCAUUACUCUAGUACCUUAAAAGACUUGCUAAGCCCAUAAGUUAAUCUCUUUACGUACAUGAAAUGUUCUAACUAUGCAUUGCAAUACAGUGUCUGGCCAAGAACCAUUAGACUACUUGCAGUGGUUAUUUACUCGAGUAAAAUGAAGAGAAGGGGUGUGAAAUGAAAAGGUGUGUCCUUGAUCUUGGACUGUCUCGAUACCCUAAGGACAAGGGUUUUGGGUGUAGGGUCGAUGGGUCUCUUAAACUCAUAGUGGUUCACGAAUAUGCAUUGCAAUACAGUGUACGUGUAAAAACCAUUAGACUACUUGCAGUGGUUAUUUACUCGAGUAAAUGAAGAGUAGGGUGUGAAAUGAAAAGGUGUGUCCUUGAUCUUGGACUAUCUCGAUACCCCAAGGACAAGGGUUUUUGGUGUAGGGUCGAUGGGUCUCUUAGAGUCUUAGUGGUUCACAAACGGUGGUUAUGGAAGAUUGUCCAAAACAUUGUAGGCCUACGGGCACAAGUUGCGUCUUGGUGCUUUGUGUAUGCACACUAUGCCUUAUGUCUUGUCCAUCUUCUCGAU
rnacentral:lncRNA from 1 species